GAUGAAGAACGCAGCGAAAUGCGAUACGUAAUGUGAAUUGCAACUUCAGUGAAUCAUCGAGUCUUUGAACGCACAUUGCGCCCCCUGGUAUUCCGGGGGGCAUGCCUGUCCGAGCGUCAUUGCUGCCCUCAAGCACGGCUUGUGUGUUGGGCCCCGUCCUCCGAUUCCGGGGGACGGGCCCGAAAGGCAGCGGCGGCACCGCGUCCGGUCCUCGAGCGUAUGGGGCUUUGUCACCCGCUCUGUAGGCCCGGCCGGCGCUUGCCGAUCAACCCAAAUUUUUAUCCAGGUUGACCUCGGAUCAGGUAGGGAUACCCGCUGAACUUAAGCAUAUCAAUAAGCGGAGGA
rnacentral:misc_RNA from 1 species